GCACAGCUCAAAAAAAUAUCAGAAAAGUAUCAGUGGAAAAGAGUACAUUCACCAUGGAGAAUUCAUGGCAGUGCUCCAAGGGCUCAUCGCUAAAGUGGAAAUUGAAGGGCAGCACAAAAAAGUUAAGAAAGAGAGAAAGGGACAACUGCAGGAAAAGAAACAACAGAAACCUAAACAGAAGAAGGAUCACAAAGGAAAGAAGCUGAAGUGGAAGAAAGAAAGACAUUUUGACCCAAAUCUCGGUCAAAGGAAGAUAAAAAUCACAGACACCAGUGGGUCUGCUCAGAUAAGCCACAGUUACUUAAAGGUGAUGCCAGAUCCUCAAUCCAACUAUGAAGACACAGGGGAUUAUGAAAACAUUGACGCACCAGCUAACUUUUACAGUGACAUUGACAUGGAAACUUCAUUGGAAGAUUAUGAUGAUGUGGAUAUCCCAGACACAAGUGGGCUCAGUGUGCAAACCUCUUGGGAAGGUGAUGUUUAUGAUGACGUGGAUAUUCCAGACCCACAGAGUCAACAAUUGGAUGAGAGCUAUGACGAUGUUGGUAUCAUGACAACUCCUCAACUUCCUUUUAAAGCUGUAGAAGAUGAUGAUUAUGAUGAUGUGGGUAUCCCAGACACAAGGUAAGAUAAACUAAUAAGUGUUCAAGUGGUGUUUCAACAUAAUAUCUGAAGACCCCGCCACUGAUGCAGUUUGACAAAAUGCAGAAUUUUACUGUAUGUAUGUCUGACACCUAUUGGUCAACAUGAUAAACACCCACUCCCAGUCCCCCUCUCUAAAUAAAGCUUUAAAGAUUUAAUUUUAACCCAUAAGGACCCAGUGCUAUACAUUUGUGGCAGUUCCCAAAUUAAUUCUUCUCUCUAUUUUACCUUUCCUAAGUGAUUAUCACCAUUUAUUAUAAAAUUAUCCUCUGAAUUUUGCAUUUUUCCCAGUGAAAAUCAUCUAUUUUCCUAUGUUUCACUGACUGAUCAUGUACAUGUUCAUAAAAGCUCAGACCAAAGUCAAAGGUUAUUGUAUCAACACAGAAAAAUACUGAGGAAAAAUUGGCUUUUUCAGUAAAAUCUAUCAUUAACUGAACAUAAAACCAAGUGUCUCCAUCCACUGUCAUUGAUUCAACUCCAUGGGUUUUAAUGGUGAAUCAGUGUUGUAGAAGUUGACGUUCACGUUCACUACAGAGCCUCUGAAUGUCCAAAUGGGUCAUAUCUGAUGACCAUGAAAAGAUGACAAACUGUAUUUUACACCAACUAUUUACAUGGAUUGAAAGGACUGAGUGGAUCAACAGUUUAAAUCAGUAGAUGCUUUUGGUCAAUGGUGGAUGUUUGGGUCUUUAUGGGUUAAGACAAAGCGUUAAUGAGACUGAACCCCAACUCUUUAUUGAAAACUUAAGGGCUGCUGUAUUCACCUUCUUUCUUACUUUUCCUCCAGAGUUUCUCCUUUACCACAGCUUACAGCAGAUGGUGGUAAAUA
rnacentral:lncRNA from 1 species